AAGAGGAAGAAGAGGAGGUGGAAGAGGAGGUGGAAGAGGAAGAAGAGGAGGUGGAAGAGGAGGUGGAAGAGGAGGAAGAGGAGGUGGAAGAGGAAGAAGAGGAAGAAGAGGAGGUGGAAGAGGAAGAAGAGGAAGAAGAGGAGGUGGAAGAGGAAGAAGAGGAGGUGGAAGAGGAAGAAGAGGAGGUGGAAGAGGAAGAAGAGGGGGUGGAAGAGGAAGAAGAGGGGGUGGAAG